GACGAACGCUGGCGGCGUGCUUAACACAUGCAAGUCGAACGGGAGUAUUGAAGAAGCUUGCUUUAGAGAUACUUUAGUGGCGGACGGGUGAGUAACGCGUGAGGAGCUGUCCUAUGCAGGGGGACAACAGCUGGAAACGGCUGCUAAUACCCCAUAAGCCGAGAGGUAAAAGGAUCAAUCCGGCAGAGGAGGUACUCGCGUCCUAUCAGCUAGUAGGUGAGGUAACGGCUCACCUAGGCGAAGACGGGUAGCCGGCCUGAGAGGGCGAACGGCCACACUGGAACUGAGAUACGGUCCAGACUCCUACGGGAGGCAGCAGUGGGGAAUAUUGGGCAAUGGGGGAAACCCUGACCCAGCGACGCCGCGUGGGUGAAGAAAUCCUUCGGGAUGUAAAGCCCUGUUGUAUGGGAAGAGCGGAAGACGGUACCAUACGAGGAAGCCCCGGCAAACUACGUGCCAGCAGCCGCGGUAAACAUGAGAGUA
rnacentral:rRNA from 1 species